rnacentral:lncRNA from 1 species
GAUGUAAUUGAUCGUCACUAUCCAGAAAUGACACAUAAGUGGUUGAACUCUUCAAGUGCUUUUUCUGUUUGGGACUCAGCCCCUAACAAACAUAACCCUAUUCCAAUUUACUUUCGUGUUCCUCAUUAAUCGAUUUUACUUAAGAUGAAGUCACUAGUUUUGGUAUAGUGGUGAGGGGUUUGGGUAUUAUGCAUGAGGUCUUGGGUUCAAUCCUCAGCUGCGUUGUAAACCAAAAAAAAAAAAAUUACUUAAGAUUAUUUUCCCUUGAUUAUCCAUUUUAGUUUUUGAACUUAUUUAUGUGCUGUAUUUGAAUUUUUUAAAUAAUUUUAUGGUGUAUUUGUGUUUACACCUACACAUUUAUGUGUAUGUAUU